AUUGAACGCUGGCGGCAUGCCUUACACAUGCAAGUCGAACGGCAGCGGGGGAGAAGCUUGCUUUUCCUGCCGGCGAGUGGCGAACGGGUGAGUAAUACAUCGGAACGUGCCCUGUAGUGGGGGAUAACUAGUCGAAAGAUUAGCUAAUACCGCAUACGACCUGAGGGUGAAAGUGGGGGACCGCAAGGCCUCAUGCUAUAGGAGCGGCCGAUGUCUGAUUAGCUAGUUGGUGGGGUAAAGGCCUACCAAGGCGACGAUCAGUAGCUGGUCUGAGAGGACGAUCAGCCACACUGGGACUGAGACACGGCCCAGACUCCUACGGGAGGCAGCAGUGGGGAAUUUUGGACAAUGGGCGAAAGCCUGAUCCAGCAAUGCCGCGUGUGUGAAAAAGGCCUUCGGGUUGUAAGGCACUUUUGUCCGGAAAGAAAUGGCUCUGGUUAAUACCUGGGGUCGAUGACGGUACCGGAAGAAUAAGGACCGGCUAACUACGUGCCAGCAGCCGCAGUAA
rnacentral:rRNA from 1 species